GACGAACGCUGGCGGCGUGCUUAACACAUGCAAGUCGAACGGAAAGGCCCUGCUUGCAGGGUACUCGAGUGGCGAACGGGUGAGUAACACGUGGGUGAUCUGCCCUGCACUUCGGGAUAAGCCUGGGAAACUGGGUCUAAUACCGGAUAGGAGCCAUUUUUAGUGUGAUGGUUGGAAAGUUUUUUCGGUGUAGGAUGAGCUCGGCCUAUCAGCUUGUUGGUGGGGUAAUGGCCUACCAAGGCGGCGACGGGUAGCCGGCCUGAGAGGGUGGACGGCCACAUUGGGACUGAGAUACGGCCCAGACUCCUACGGGAGGCAGCAGUGGGGAAUAUUGCACAAUGGGCGCAAGCCUGAUGCAGCGACGCCGCGUGGGGGAUGACGGCCUUCGGGUUGUAAACUCCUUUCGCUAGGGACGAAGCUUUUGUGACGGUACCUAGAUAAGAAGCACCGGCUAACUACGUG
rnacentral:rRNA from 1 species